rnacentral:rRNA from 1 species
AUUCCAGCUCCAAUAGCGUAUAUUAAAGUUGUUGCAGUUAAAACGCUCGUAGUCGGAUUUCGGGGCGGGCCGACCGGUCUGCCGAUGGGUAUGCACUGGCCGGCGCGUCCUUCCACCCGUAGACCGCGCCUACUCUUAACUGAGCGGGCGCGGGAGACGGGUCUUUUACUUUGAAAAAAUCAGAGUGUUUCAAGCAGGCAGUCGCUCUUGCAUGGAUUAGCAUGGGAUAAUGAAAUAGGACUCUGGUGCUAUUUUGUUGGUUUCGAACACCGGAGUAAUGAUUAACAGGGACAGUCAGGGGCACUCGUAUUCCGCUGAGAGAGGUGAAAUUCUCAGACCAGCAGAAGACGAACCACUGCGAAAGCAUUUGCCAGGGAUGUUUUCAUUA